CCCAACAGAAAUAUUGGCUACAGAUGGCUUGCAACCUCUUCUCUUGCUAAAGAUUGCCCUUGGCCAGUCAGUGGUUGGCCAAUAUGGGUAUAAAGACUUGGCUCUUGUCCGCAAUAUGGGACCCUCUGAAGGACUAUCUGGCUCAGAGCUCCCUGUAGGAUUGGCUGAGGCCUGGUUGCACACUGAGGGUCAUCUUCUCUCUUCCCAAUCUCUCUUCUUACUUAAUUAUAGGUGUGUCUCCCAAGAGCACCACAGAAUAAGCCUGCAGACAAUUCUCCAUGUUGGAGUCUGCUUCCAGGGAACCCAAACUUAAGACAGUGGCUGCUGGGAGAAGGAUCACUCGCCAGCCAACUCUCAGGGAGCUAUUGGUCUCAGCCAUGAACCUAGCAAUGGGGAAAAAGUUACAUCUUUUAUCUCCAGCGGAUGGGAAGAGUUAGAAGGAGCCCUACUGGCUGAUGCAAUAGCUCUGGCAGUUGAGGAAAGUUGUGGCUGUGGAGCUGUGGAGAAAUGGAUGACUAUUGCCAGCCCAUUAAUUUGUAUCUUUGCAGGAGGAGAUGCAGCUGCUCCACUUCCUCCAACAGCUGCCCAGUGUCCUAUGCAAUAUGGCAGAUCACAGAGAAGCUGACUGCAGGCAGAGGCUCUGCAUGGGCCCGGCACCCUGGACCUGGCCAGGCCCGCUGCCCAGCCUCUUGGUGUCAUGACUCGUGCUGACCCAGUGUCCACCCUGUAGGUGCACCUGCCUCUUCCCUGGGACAUGGCUUGCAGAACUCUUCCUCAGCCCCCGGCUUGGAGUCUAUGGGAGUGAACCUUCACUGCUGCCAUCCCAUCAGUGCCAAGAGAAAGUGUCAUCGCCCACCUCCAGCCUUCCCAGGACAUUCUGUGCAUCGGGUGCCGAUAAGGCUGUGCCAGGCCAGCAGGCAGAUGCCCUCUUGGUGCUAUGCUCUGGGGGCUGUGAUCUAGAACCUGGGACCCUGACUGGACCUGGUGGGGAAGGGGCCUCUGGGCGCAGAGCCAGGGAUCCAAUUACUCUCCACAGGGAGGAGCCGGGUCAGCUACUUUAUAGCCAAGUUUUGUGUUUUGUUUUGUUUUUUCAAUUUCCUUUCCAUCCUAUGUUUCUUUUAAGGGGAGAAAUUCCACUGUGUGCUGUGACACUUUCACUCCUACCCCAUCAGAGUCCCACCAGGGACGGGUGGCUUGGGUCUUGGGGGAGCUGCUGGUUUUUGUGGUAGGAGGCAGGGGCCCUUUCUUACACUGGCUGCUCAGACCUGGAAUGCCCUAAGCGAUGACUGGUUCAGCCCCUGACAGUGAAGGGGCUUCCUCUCCAUUUUCUCACUGAGGCAGGUCACGUUAGCCCUCAGACACGAAGUUAUAAAUGUGGAUGGACCAAGAGAAUGGGCCUGAGGCCUCUCUGCUGCCUCACACAGGUGGCCUUGCUGCUUCUGACUGGCUGAUUUGAUGACUAAACCAGACAGGAGUGGGGGUGCAGCUAAAUUUGUGCUGUGCCUGUGACCUCACCAGCUGGGGCUACAUCUUGGCUCCCAGGGCCCAAUCUGGGUGCCUUUGCAGGGAACCUGCUGGAAAGCUGUGGAAUGGGCCAGUGAGGUGGUGUGUGGGCAGGACUCACCUUCUCCCCACUUGGAGAACCUGAGACAGACGUCUGCCCUCAGGGCUCCCAGAGCUGAGAGGAAGACUUAGGGCCCAUUGUUUUAUUUGAGAAACAGCCCAGGAAGUCUGGGAUGAAGGAGCAGGGAAGUGAGCAAAACCAGUAAAAAUGAGGUGUUGAUGAGCAGGCUCUUAUUCCUUGGGACCUUCUGAGGGACUACAAAGAGAACAUAAUAACAGAUGGACCGGCUCCUCACUGGCUGCAGUGUGCAUCUCGGCUGUUCAUUUCUGAAAGAGUUUUGCCCUAGAAUAAACUACAGGACAUUAUGGCGGUGGAAGGCCAAAUUAGGGAUGUUUACCCUGAGGUCACUUCCUCCUUCCCCUGUUAAACUUCCUUUUCCUUUCCCAGUGCAUGGGAAGAAAAUUCCAAUCAGCUCCUCCCAUGUCAUCAACGCCUGUCCUAAGCACCACCCCGGUCAGAGGUUGCAUAUGUCCCAUUCCCCAUAUUCCGGUCGAAGGAGAGAGCCCAGCUGCCAAGGGUCCUGUGCUCCUUUCCACGUCCUCACCUCAAUAAACCUGUUUGUUUUGUACUU